rnacentral:rRNA from 1 species
AGAGUUUGAUCCUGGCUCAGAUUGAACGCUGGCGGCAGGCCUAACACAUGCAAGUCGAGCGGAUCCUUCGAGAUUAGCGGCGGACGGGUGAGUAACGCGUGGGAACCUUCCCAGAGGUGCGGAAUAGCUCAGGGAAACUUGGGGUAAUACCGCAUAAUGCCGAAAGGCCAAAGAUUUAUCGCCUUUGGAUGGGCCCGCGUAGGAUUAGCUAGUUGGUGGGAUAAAAGCUUACCAAGCCGACGAUCUGUAGCUGGUCUGAGAGGACGACCAGCCACACUGGGACUGAGACACGGCCCAGACUCCUACGGGAGGCAGCAGUGGGGAAUUUUGGACAAUGGGCGAAAGCCUGAUCCAGCCAUGCCGCGUGCAGGAUGAAGGCCUUCGGGUUGUAAACUGCUUUUGUACGGAACGAAAAGACUCCUUCUAAUAAAGGGGGUUCAUGACGGUACCGUAAGAAUAAGCACCGGCUAACUACGUGCCAGCAGCCGCGGUAAUA